rnacentral:rRNA from 1 species
CAGUCGCCACGGUAACACGGAGGGCGCGAGCGUUACCCGGAUUUACUGGGCGUAAAGGGCGUGUAGGCGGCCUGGGGCGUCCCAUGUGAAAGGCCACGGCUCAACCGUGGAGGAGCGUGGGAUACGCUCAGGCUAGAGGGUGGGAGAGGGUGGUGGAAUUCCCGGAGUAGCGGUGAAAUGCGCAGAUACCGGGAGGAACGCCGAUGGCGAAGGCAGCCACCUGGUCCACUUCUGACGCUGAGGCACGAAAGCGUGGGGAGCAAACAGGAUUAGAUACCCCCGUAGUCCCUGUCUCUUAUAA